rnacentral:rRNA from 1 species
GAUCCUGGCUCAGGACGAACGCUGGCGGCACGCUUAACACAUGCAAGUCGAACGAGAGAAGAGAAGCUUGCUUUUCUGAUCUAGUGGCGGACGGGUGAGUAACACGUGAGCAAUCUGCCUUUCAGAGGGGGAUACCGAUUGGAAACGAUCGUUAAUACCGCAUAACAUAAUUGAACCGCAUGAUUUGAUUAUCAAAGAUUUAUCGCUGAAAGAUGAGCUCGUGU